rnacentral:rRNA from 1 species
GACGAACGCUGGCGGCGCGCUUAACACAUGCAAGUCGAACGCUGAACCCGCUUCGGUGGGGGAUGAGUGGCGAACGGGUGAGUAACACGUGGGCAACCUGCCCCCGGCUCUGGGAUAACUCCAAGAAAUUGGGGCUAAUACCGGAUGUGACCGCUGGCCGCAUGGUCUGGUGGUGGAAAGGGUUUCCGGCUGGGGAUGGGCCCGCGGCCUAUCAGCUUGUUGGUGGGGUAGUGGCCUACCAAGGCGACGACGGGUAGCCGGCCUGAGAGGGUGACCGGCCACACUGGGACUGAGACACGGCCCAGACUCCUACGGGAGGCAGCAGUGGGGAAUAUUGCGCAAUGGGCGGAAGCCUGACGCAGCGACGCCGCGUGGGGGAUGACGGCCUUCGGGUUGUAAACCUCUUUCAGCAGGGACGAAGCGCAAGUGACGGUACCUGCAGAAGAAGCACCGGCCAACUACGUG